rnacentral:rRNA from 1 species
UGCAGGGGCGGCGUGCUAUACAUGCAGUCGAGCGGACAGAAGGGAGCUUGCUCCCGGAUGUUAGCGGCGGACGGGUGAGUAACACGUGGGUAACCUGCCUGUAAGACUGGGAUAACUCCGGGAAACCGGAGCUAAUACCGGAUAGUUCCUUGAACCGCAUGGUUCAAGGAUGAAAGACGGUUUCGGCUGUCACUUACAGAUGGACCCGCGGCGCAUUAGCUAGUUGGUGAGGUAACGGCUCACCAAGGCGACGAUGCGUAGCCGACCUGAGAGGGUGAUCGGCCACACUGGGACUGAGACACGGCCCAGACUCCUACGGGAGGCAGCAGUAGGGAAUCUUCCGCAAUGGACGAAAGUCUGACGGAGCAACGCCGCGUGAGUGAUGAAGGUUUUCGGAUCGUAAAGCUCUGUUGUUAGGGAAGAACAAGUGCAAGAGUAACUGCUUGCACCUUGACGGUACCUAACCAGAAAGCCACGGCUAACUACGUGCCAGCAGCCGCGGUAAUACGUAGGUGGCAAGCGUUGUCCGGAAUUAUUGGGCGUAAAGGGCUCGCAGGCGGUUUCUUAAGUCUGAUGUGAAAGCCCCCGGCUCAACCGGGGAGGGUCAUUGGAAACUGGGAAACUUGAGUGCAGAAGAGGGAGAUUGGAAUUCCACGUGUAGCGGUGAAAUGCGUAGGGAUGUGGAGGAACACCAGUUGGCGAAGGCGACUCUCUGGUCUGUAACUGACGCUGAGGAGCGAAAGCGUGGGGAGCGAACAGGAUUAGAUACCCUGGUAGUCCACGCCGUAAACGAUGAGUGCUAAGUGUUAGGGGGUUUCCGCCCUUUAGUGCUGCAGCUAACGCAUUAAGCACUCCGCCUGGGGAGUACGGUCGCAAGACUGAAACUCAAAGGAAUUGACGGGGGCCCGCACAAGCGGUGGAGCAUGUGGUUUAAUUCCGAAGCAACGCGAAGAACCUUACCAGGUCUUGACAUCCUCUGACAACCCUAGAGAUAGGGCUUUCGCUUCCGGGGACAGAGUGACAGGUGGUGCAUGGUUGUCGUCAGCUCGUGUCGUGAGAUGUUGGGUUAAGUCCCGCAACGAGCGCAACCCUUGAUCUUAGUUGCCAGCAUUUAGUUGGGCACUCUAAGGUGACUGCCGGUGACAAACCGGAGGAAGGUGGGGAUGACGUCAAAUCAUCAUGCCCCUUAUGACCUGGGCUACACACGUGCUACAAUGGACAGAACAAAGGGCUGCGAGACCGCAAGGUUUAGCCAAUCCCACAAAUCUGUUCUCAGUUCGGAUCGCAGUCUGCAACUCGACUGCGUGAAGCUGGAAUCGCUAGUAAUCGCGGAUCAGCAUGCCGCGGUGAAUACGUUCCCGGGCCUUGUACACACCGCCCGUCACACCACGAGAGUUUGCAACACCCGAAGUCGGUGAGGUAACCUUUAUGGAGCCAGCCGCCGAAGUGGUCCAGAUUGGG